rnacentral:rRNA from 1 species
AACAGCCGGGAGGUUGGCUUAGAAGCAGCCAUCCUUUAAAGAUAGCGUAACAGCUCACCGGUCUAAUAGAGUUUCUGCGCCGAAGAUGUAACGGGGCUAAAAUCAUGUACCGAAUCUGUGGCUUUGCAAAGUUUUCGAACUUUGUAAGGGGUAGCGGAACGUUCUGUAAGCCUGCGAAGGGAUACCCGUGAGGGAUCCUGGAGGUAUCAGAAGUGCGAAUGCUGACAUAAGUAACGAUAAACGAAGUGAAAAACUUCGUCGCCGAAAAUCUAAGGGUUUCUAUGCAAGGUUAAUCCGCGUAGAGUUAGUCGGCACCUAAGGCGAGGGCGAAAGCCGUAGUCGAUGGAAACAAGGUUAAUAUUCCUUGACCUGAUGGUAGUGACGGAUUUCGUAAGUUGUGAGUUCUUAAUGGAUUGAACUUGCCGCGAAGAGGUCCCAAGAAAUAGCUCCAUCAUGAAGACCGUACCCGAAACCGACACAGGUAGAUUAAUAGAGUAUAUUUAGGCGCUUGAGAGAAUGAUGUUGAAGGAACUCGGCAAAAUGCUUCCGUAACUUCGGGAUAAGGAAGACCCUUUUGUAGGCAACUAUGGAAGGGUGGCACAAGCCAGGGAGAAGCGACUGUUUAUCAAAAACACAGGGCUCUGCUAACACGUAAGUGGAUGUAUAGGGUCUGACGCCUGCCCGGUGCUGGAAGGUUAAUGCGGUUGGUGCAAGCUAACUUCUGAAGCCCCAGUAAACGGCGGCCGUAACUAUAACGGUCCUAAGGUAGCGAAAUUCCUUGUCGGGUAAGUUCCGACCUGCAUGAAUGGCGUAACGAUUUCUCCGCUGUCUCCAACAUCAACUCAGUGAAAUUGAAUUCUCCGUGAAGAUGCGGAGUUCGCGUAGUUAGACGGAAAGACCCCGUGCACCUUUACUGCAACUUUACAUUGGUGUUAGGAAAAACAUAUUUAGCAUAGGAGGGAGACUUUGAAGCAAAGGCGUCAGCUUUUGUGGAGUCACCAGUGAAAUACCUCUUUUGUUUUUCUUGACAUCUAACCGCUAGCCGUCAUCCGGCAGCGAGACAUUGUAUGGUGGGUAGUUUGACUGGGGCGGUCGCCUCCCAAAUAGUAACGGAGGCGUGCGAAGGUAGGCUCAGAACGGUCAGAAAUCGUUCGUAGAGUGCAAUGGCAUAAGCCUGCCUGACUGUGAGACUGACAAGUCGAGCAGAGACGAAAGUCGGUCAUAGUGAUCCGGUGCUUCUGAGUGGAAGGGGCAUCGCUCAACGGAUAAAAGGUACGCCGGGGAUAACAGGCUGAUACUGCCCAAGAG